rnacentral:rRNA from 1 species
UGCAUGUGGGGCAAGCGUUGUUCGGAAUUACUGGGCUUAAAGGGUGCGUAGGCGGCGCAGAAAGUAGGGUGUGAAAUCCCUCGGCUCAACCGAGGAACUGCGCCCUAAACUACUGUGCUCGAGGGAGGUAGAGGUGAGCGGAACUUAGGGUGGAGCGGUGAAAUGCGUUGAUAUCCUAAGGAACACCGGUGGCGAAAGCGGCUCACUGGACCUCUUCUGACGCUGAGGCACGAAAGCUAGGGUAGCGAACGGG